UACGUAGGUGACAAGCGUUGUCCGGAUUUACUGGGCGUAAAGAGCGCGCAGGCGGUCGUUCAAGUCGAGUGUGAAAGCCCCCGGCUCAACUGGGGAGGGUCACUCGAUACUGAUCGACUCGAAGGCAGGAGAGGGAAGUGGAAUUCCCGGUGUAGUGGUGAAAUGCGUAGAUAUCGGGAGGAACACCAGUGGCGAAGGCGGCUCACUGGCCCAUAACUGACGCUGAGGCACGAAAGCGUGGGGAGCAAACAGG
rnacentral:rRNA from 1 species